rnacentral:rRNA from 1 species
UACGUAGGUGGCAAGCGUUAUCCGGAAUUAUUGGGCGUAAAGAGCGCGCAGGUAGUUAAUCAAGUCUGAUGUGAAAGCCCACGGCUUAACCGUGGAGGGUCAUUGGAAACUGGUUGACUUGAGUGCAGAAGAGGGAAGUGGAAUUCCAUGUGUAGCGGUGAAAUGCGUAGAGAUAUGGAGGAACACCAGUGGCGAAGGCGGCUUCCUGGUCUGCAACUGACACUGAGGCGCGAAAGCGUGGGGAGCAAACAGG